AUUGAACGCUGGCGGCAGGCCUAACACAUGCAAGUCGAGCGCGCGGCGGACGGGUGAGAAAUAUAUGGGGAAAUGCCCGAUAGGGGGGGGGAAAAACAGGAAAAGGGGGCGAAUAACGCAUACGAUCGGAUGAACCCAUAUGGGAUUAGCUAGAGGGGGAGGUAAUGGCUCACCUAGGCGACGAUCCCUAGCUGGUCUGAGAGGAUGAGCAGCCACACUGGAACUGAGACACGGCCCAGACUCCUACGGGAGGCAGCAGUGGGGAAUAUUGCACAAUGGGCGCAAGCCUGAUGCAGCCAUGCCGCGUGUAUGAUGAAGGCCUUCGGGUUGUAAAGUACUUUUGGCGGAGAAGCGGUAUCUGCAGAAUAAGCACCGGCUAACUACGUGCCAGCAGCCGCGGUAAUAC
rnacentral:rRNA from 1 species